GGACUACUGGGGUAUCUAAUCCUGUUUGCUCCCCACGCUUUCGCGCCUCAGCGUCAGAACCGGGCCAGAGAGCCGCCUUCGCCACCGGUGUUCUUCCCAAUAUCUACGAAUUUCACCUCUACACUGGGAAUUCCACUCUCCUCUCCCGGUCUCGAGCCCGCCCGUUUCAAGCGCACCUCCCGGGUUAAGCCCAGGGCUUUCACGCCUGACGCAACGAACCGCCUGCGCGCCCUUUACGCCCAGUAAUUCCGAACAACGCUAGCCCCCUCCGUAUUACCGCGGCGGCUGGCAC
rnacentral:rRNA from 1 species